UGACUUUGCGUCUAAAACUUCAUAUUUUCUUUCUAAUCAAGAUAAUCUGACUGUCUCUGGAACACGAUAUACAUUUUUAUGCAUAAAACAUAAGGCCAGCUCAGCGAGGACAGAAACCUCGCGUGGAGCAAAAGCUGGCUUGACCCCGAUGUUCAGUACGCAUAGGGACUGCGAAAGCACGGCCUAUCGAUCCUUUUGGCUUGGAGAGUUUCCAGCAAGAGGUGUCAGAAAAGUUACCA
rnacentral:rRNA from 1 species